UUCGUUUAUUGUCUUUGGUCUUGACUCUUGAACAGUUCUUGGUCAGCCAUCUACGAGGAACGACAGGAUUUUUAAGCUGUCCAUUUGCAAUCCUCGUUUUCGCAAUACCCCGGUAAUGCCAUGCAGCUCUCGUAUGAAGACCUGUCCUCCCUUCUGGCUAACCAUUGGACAAGACCAAUGGAAGGGAAUAACUCUGCUAUCGAGAAGGCUUUCAGAAUAACGGUAAUGCUGUGCAGCUCUCGUAUGAAGACCUGUCCUCCCUUCUGACUUAACCAGUGGACAGGACCAAUGGAAGGGACUGAGUGCGCUCUUGAGAAGGCUGUCAAAAUAACGUGAGAGAUAACAGCAGCCUAUACUGUUCAGCAUGAUGGGGACUGAGGACUCUGAGCAGAGCAAGAAAAUGAAGUUCGUAGAGCGAGAGAAGAUUGCAGAACAAGAGCGAGAAAAUGAAGUUCGCAGAGCAAGAGCGGGGACUCUGAGAACAAGACAAAAUCGUAAAGCAAAAGAAAAGACUCAAGAGCAAGAGGAGAACGGGGUGUCUGUAAAUAAUUAAGAAGCCGGUAAUCCAGGGUUGUAAAAAAAUUUUCUGGACGCCUCACAUGAUUUUUUUUUUUUUUGCUGUGGGGCGGUACGUUUUUCCAUUUACAUCCUCCUAUAGUGAGAGGGAAUAUUAAAGAACAAGAAACACAAUAUUCUGAAUUAAUGUGACUUUUCAACCUUCUUUACUCUUAACCAUUAUUAUGGCCCUCAUUUGCUAUAUUAGUCUAGCUUUUUAUAUAUUUAUUUGUUAUAUUAGUCUAGCUUUUUAUAUAUUUAUUUGUUAUAUUAGUCUAGCUUUUUAUACUACUAUUUUUUUUAGAGCCAGUACUUAUUGCCGCCAAAAUGACUAGGUGGUUCUUGAACAGUAUGGGACGAUCGGUAGAGUUUCCUCGACGUCUCUCCGCCCAUUCUUGAGUCCGUUUUCUUCCAUACACUCCUCGGAUGGUCUUGACCUCAGCGACCUCUAUUCUCGGUCAUUCCAUUGAAGUGUUAGAGAUGUGUAUCUGGUGAUAGAGGUUCACUCUCUCCACGUCAAGCCGUUGGUCCCGUUGCUAAAUAACCACUGGUUCCAUGCAAUGUAAAAACUCCAUACAAACAAAAUCCUCGGAUCAUAAUCUGCAACCGUUCUUCCAUGCAAUCCUCGGAUGGUCUUGACCUGCCACCUCGGUGGUCGCGAGUUCGAUUCUCGGGCAUUUCAUUGAAGUGUUAGAUAUAUAUAUUUCUUGUGAUAGAGUUUCACUCUCGACUUGGUUCGGAAGUCACGUAAAGCCGUUGGUCCCGCUGCUGAAUAACCACUGUUUCCAUGCAACGUAAAACCAUCAUACAAACACACACUCCUCGGUCGGUGGCGUAGUCGUUAUGGUGUUUGUGUACCACCUCGGUGGCUGAGAGUACGAUUCUCUGGUAAUCCAUUGAGGUGUGAUAGAUGUGUAUUUCUGGUGAUAGAAGUUCACUCUCGACGUGGUUCGGAAGUCACGCAAAGACACUGGUUCCAUGCAACGUCAAAACACCAUACAAACAAACAUACACUCAUCGAUCACUUGAGAACGUUCCUCAUUACUGGUAAUUCAUCAUCUGUAAUGAAAGACAUUUAACAGGGUUUCGUACACAUGCCUCGUGAUUUAAAGAACUGAUUAUUAUACCAAACUCCUUACAGCAAGGUAAACUGACUACACGUAGGCCUUGCAAGUUAAAUGGAACUUAAGAUAACACUAAUCAGACUUUACGCGGUUUAAGUCGGCUAUUGGAGCUAAUACUAAAUCAACAAUAAAGAUUUGGUUAAUUUUCAAUAGAAGAUACUGGAGAGAGAGAGAGAGAGAGAGAGAGAGAGAGAGAGAGAGA